GACGAACGCUGGCGGCGCGCCUAACACAUGCAAGUCGAACGGGAUCUUUUAGGAAGCUUGCUUCUUGGCUGAUCUAGUGGCGGACGGGUGAGUAACACGUGAGCAACCUGCCGCGGAGUGGGGGACAACGUCUGGAAACGGACGCUAAUACCGCAUAACAUCACCGGAUGGCAUCAUUUGGUGAUCAAAGGAGAAAUCCGCUUUGCGAUGGGCUCGCGCCCGAUUAGAUAGUUGGUGAGGUAACGGCCCACCAAGUCGACGAUCGGUAGCCGGACUGAGAGGUUGAACGGCCACAUUGGGACUGAGACACGGCCCAGACUCCUACGGGAGGCAGCAGUGGGGAAUAUUGCACAAUGGGGGAAACCCUGAUGCAGCGACGCCGCGUGAAGGAAGAAGUAUUUCGGUAUGUAAACUUCUAUCAGCAGGGAAGAAAAUGACGGUACCUGACUAAGAAGCCCCGGCUAAUUACGUGCCAGCCGCCGCAGUAUAC
rnacentral:rRNA from 1 species